GGAUUGGCAGGGGAGAGUUCUGAAGCGCGCGCGCGCGGGGCGGUUGAGACCGCUGGGGAUUGUGGGGCAGUGGAGGACUUAAAGGAACUGAGACUAAACUGGCUAGAGGGGAAUAAGGCCCUCAAACAGCGUUUGGGCGUCAACCGCUCUAAGGGAAGGACGAAGGAGCCUCUGUCAUGCGCAAAGGGCCCUUUUUAACAUUUUAAAGACCAUUUCUGAGAUGUACUGGCUCGGCGUUGUCUAUUGGUGGCAUGUAGGUGCUGCUUUUCUCCUGGAAGGGACCCAAAGCAGGCUACUGAUCCAAGGAGUGGAUGACGCCUUGCGCUUCCAGCUGGUGAACUGUGCCCUUCAAUUUGUUCAAAAUGGAGUAGGGGAUCUUUCUACACCCAUGGACAACAGGAGGGAUUGUUAAAUCCAGAAAGAUGGGGACCUUUUUCCAGAAAGCUGACAUCUCAGGACACUCCCACCAGUAAUGGAUGAAAGAUCCAGAUAGCCCACAGCUCUUCUAGCAGUUUGGGUUAUCCUUCACCUUGCCCUUAAACAACAUAUAAGGGGUCACAUAUCACCUGGCAAAGAUUUUGUAAUUCUGUAAUCUGAAAUAAUAAGAUUUUGAUUUAAAUAAAGAAGUUUGCCAAA